rnacentral:rRNA from 1 species
CCUACGGGUGGCAGCAGUGAGGAAUAUUGGUCAAUGGGCGCGAGCCUGAACCAGCCAAGUCGCGUGAAGGAUGACUGCCCUACGGGCUGUAAACUUCUUUUAUAAAGGAAUAAAGUGAGGCACGUGUGUCUUUUUGUAUGUACGGUAUGAAUAAGGAUCGGCUAACUCCGUGCCAGCAGCCGCGGUAAUACGGAGGAUCCGAGCGUUAUCCGGAUUUAUUGGGUUUAAAGGGAGCGUAGCCGGGUGGUUAAGUCAGUUGUGAAAGUUUGCGGCUCAACCGGAAAAUUGCAGUUGAUACUGGCAGUCUUGAGUACAGUUGAGGUAGGCGGAAUUCGUGGUGUAGCGGUGAAAUGCUUAGAGAUCACGAAGAACACCGAUUGCGAAGGCAGCUUACUAAUCUGCAACUGACGUUGAUGCUCGAAAGUGUGGGUAUCAAACAGGAUUAGAUACCCGGGUAGUC